rnacentral:rRNA from 1 species
AGUACGGCGAGUGANAGGAAGAGCUCAAAGUUGGAACCUGUUUGGCCUAGCUAAACCGGAUUGUAGACUGUAGAAGUGUUUUCCAGGCAAGCCGAGUAAAUAAGUCCUUUGGAACAGGGCAUCAUAGAGGGUGAGAAUCCCGUCUUUGGCUUGAGCAUUUGCCUUUUGUGAUACGCUUUCAAAGAGUCAGGUUGUUUGGGAAUGCAGCCUAAAUUGGGUGGUAAAUCUCACCUAAAGCUAAAUAUUGGCGAGAAACCGAUAGCGAACAAGUACCGUGAGGGAAAGAUGAAAAGAACUUUGAAAAGAGAGUUAAACAGUAUGUGAAAUUGUUAAAAGGGAACCGUUUGGAGCCAGACUGGCUUGUCUGUAAUCAAUCUAGGCUUCGGCCUGGAUGCACUUGCAGGCUAUGCCUGCCAACGACAAUUUGACUUGAGGGAAAAAACUAAGGGAAAUGUGGCCCACUUGUGGGUGUUAUAGUCCCUUAGAAAAUACCUUGGGUUGGAUUGAGGAACGCAGCGAAUGCUUUUUGGCGAGUUUUCCAGGAAGGUUUUCUGAGGUACUACGGUAUCAAGGUUGAUCUUUUUGGUUAUACUUCUAUUCGCUUAGGUUGUUGG